ACACAUGCAAGUCGAACGGCAGCACAGGAGAGCUUGCUCUCUGGGUGGCGAGUGGCGGACGGGUGAGGAAUACAUCGGAAUCUACUCUGUCGUGGGGGAUAACGUAGGGAAACUUACGCUAAUACCGCAUACGACCUACGGGUGAAAGCAGGGGAUCUUCGGACCUUGCGCGAUUGAAUGAGCCGAUGUCGGAUUAGCUAGUUGGCGGGGUAAAGGCCCACCAAGGCGACGAUCCGUAGCUGGUCUGAGAGGAUGAUCAGCCACACUGGAACUGAGACACGGUCCAGACUCCUACGGGAGGCAGCAGUGGGGAAUAUUGGACAAUGGGCGCAAGCCUGAUCCAGCCAUACCGCGUGGGUGAAGAAGGCCUUCGGGUUGUAAAGCCCUUUUGUUGGGAAAGAAAUCCAGCCGGCUAAUACCCGGUUGGGAUGACGGUACCCAAAGAAUAAGCACCGGCUAACUUCGUGCCAGCAGCCGCGGUAAUACGAAGGGUGCAAGCGUUACUCGGAAUUACUGGGCGUAAAGCGUGCGUAGGUGGUCGUUUAAGUCCGUUGUGAAAGCCCUGGGCUCAACCUGGGAACUGCAGUGGAUACUGGGCGACUAGAGUGUGGUAGAGGGUAGCGGAAUUCCUGGUGUA
rnacentral:rRNA from 1 species